rnacentral:rRNA from 1 species
GAUCAUGGCUCAGGACGAACGCUGGCGGCGCGCCUAACACAUGCAAGUCGAACGGAGCUGAGAGGAGCUUGCUUUUCUUAGCUUAGUGGCGAACGGGUGGGUAACGCGUGAGUAACCUGCCCUGGAGUGGGGGACAACAGUUGGAAACGACUGCUAAUACCGCAUAAGCCCACGGCCCGGCAUCGGGCUGAGGGAAAAGGAUUUAUUCGCUUCAGGAUGGACUCGCGUCCAAUUAGCUGGUUGGUGAGGG